AUUGAACGCUGGCGGCAGGCCUAAUACAUGCAAGUCGAACGAGUGGCGGACUGGUGAGUAAUGUCUGGGCAACUGCCUGAUCUAGGGGAUAACGACUGGUAACGGUUGCUAAUACCGCAUAACAUCAGUUUUGCCCAUCUGGGAUUAGCUUGUUGGUGGGGUAACGGCUCACCAAGGCGACGAUCCCUAGCUGGUCUGAGAGGAUGACCAGCCACACUGGAACUGAGACACGGUCCAGACUCCUACGGGAGGCAGCAGUGGGGAAUAUUGGACAAUGGGCGCAAGCCUGAUGCAGCCAUGCCGCGUGUAUGAAGAAGGCCUUCGGGUUGUAAAGUACUUUCAGCGGGGAGGCGUUACCCGCAGAAGAAGCACCGGCUAACUCCGUGCCAGCAGCCGCGGUAAUAC
rnacentral:rRNA from 1 species